UGGGGAAUAUUGGACAAUGGGCGAAAGCCUGAUCCAGCCAUGCCGCGUGGGUGAAGAAGGCCUUCGGGUUGUAAAGCCCUUUUGUUGGGGAAGAAAUCCUGCUGGCUAAUACCCGGCGGGGAUGACGGUACCCAAAGAAUAAGCACCGGCUAACUCCGUGCCAGCAGCCGCGGUAAUACGAAGGGUGCAAGCGUUACUCGGAAUUACUGGGCGUAAAGCGUGCGUAGGUGGUGGCUUAAGUCUGUUGUGAAUGCCCUGGACUCAACCUGGGAAUUGCAGGGGAUACUGGGUCAGUGGAGUGUGGUAAGGGAUGGCGGAAUACCCGGUGUAGCAGUGAAAUGCGUAGAGAUCGGGAGGAACACCCGUGGCGAAGUCGGCCACCUGGGCCAACACUGACACUGAGGCACGAAAGCGUGGGGAGCAA
rnacentral:rRNA from 1 species